rnacentral:rRNA from 1 species
UACGUAGGGUGCGAGCGUUGUCCGGAAUUAUUGGGCGUAAAGGGCUCGUAGGCGGUUUGUCACGUCGGGAGUGAAAACUCGGGGCUUAACCCCGAGCCUGCUUCCGAUACGGGCAGACUAGAGGUAUGCAGGGGAGAACGGAAUUCCUGGUGUAGCGGUGAAAUGCGCAGAUAUCGGGAGGAACACCGGUGGCGAAGGCGGUUCUCUGGGCCUUACCUGACGCUGAGGAGCGAAAGCGUGGGGAGCGAACAGG